GCCUAUGAUGCAUACUUAAUUAUGGUUCAGAAAUGCAAAUUAAAUUUUGCAUUUGAUGAAAAUUCUGUACUAGGACGGUCUGAGGC